rnacentral:rRNA from 1 species
CAGCCGCCACGGUAACACGAAGGGGGCUAGCGUUGCUCGGAAUUACUGGGCGUAAAGGGAGCGCAGGCGGUUGGAAUAGUCUGAUGUGAAAGCCCACGGCUUAACCGUGGAAUUGCAUUGGAAACUGUCCAACUUGAAUGCAGAAGAGGAAAGCGGAAUUCCAUGUGUAGCGGUGAAAUGCGUAGAUAUAUGGAGGAACACCAGUGGCGAAGGCGGCUUUCUGGUCUGUGAUUGACGCUGAUGCACGAAAGCUAGGGGAGCAAACAGGAUUAGAUACCCCAGUAGUCCCUGUCUCUUAUAC